AUUGAACGCUGGCGGCAUGCCUAACACAUGCAAGUCGAGCGGACGAAGGGAGCUUGCUCCUGUAUUCAGCGGCGGACGGGUGAGUAAUGCCUAGGAAUCUGCCUUGUCGUUGGGGAUAACGUCCGUAAACGGGCGCUAAUAUCGCAUAGGUUCUGAGGUUGAAAGUGGUGGAUCUUCGGACCUCGCGCUAUCAGAUGUGCCUAGGUCGGAUUAGCUAGUUGGUGGGGUAAAGUCGUACCAAGGCGACGAUCCGUAACUGGCCUGAGUGGAUGAUCAGUCACACUGGAACGGGGACACGGUCCAACUUCUUACGGGAGGCAGAAGUGGGGAAUAUUGGACAUUGGCCGAAAGCCUGAGCCAGCCAGGCGGGGUGUGUGAAGAAGGUCUUCGGAUGGUAAAGCCCUUUAAGUGGGGAGAAAAGGCAGUAAGUUAAUACCUUGCUGUUUUGACGUUACCAACAGAAUAAGCACCGGCUAACUUCGU
rnacentral:rRNA from 1 species